rnacentral:rRNA from 1 species
CCUACGGGAGGCUGCAGUGAGGAAUAUUGGUCAAUGGACGAGAGUCUGAACCAGCCAAGUAGCGUGAAGGAUGAAUGCCCUAUGGGUUGUAAACUUCUUUUAUAUGGGAAUAAAAUGUUCCACGUGUGGGAUUUUGUAUGUACCAUAUGAAUAAGGAUCGGCUAACUCCGUGCCAGCAGCCGCGGUAAUAUGGAGGAUACGAGCGUUAUCCGGAUUUAUUGGGUUUAACGGGAGCGUAGGUGGAUUGUUAAGUCAGUUGUGAAAGUUUGCGGCUCAACCGUAAAAUUGCAGUUGAAACUGGCAGUCUUGAGUACAGUAGAGGUGGGCGGAAUUCGUGGUGUAGCGGUGAAAUGCUUAGAUAUCACGAAGAACUCCGAUUGCGAAGGCAGUUCACUGGACUGCAACUGACACUGAGGCUCGAAAGUGUGGGUAUCAAACAGGAUUAGAUACCCUGGUAGUC